GGGAGCUCGGAGAGAAGGUCGAGCUGCCGGGGAUUUCUUGGAGGCCCGCCUGCUUUCUCCUCUUUACCUUUUGUACUGAAAGAGCUCUUUGGAAGAGGAGGAAGGGGAAAGCAGAGGAGUCAGGAAUGACUCUUUCUCAGGUAAAAUCGUAUUUGCAACUGAUUCACAGUCUGUCCUUGUGAAACGCCCUCGUUAAUCUUCCCUGACUCUGAAGUAUCCUGCCUGACAGUUGUACAUCACAGUCACCCGGGUCCUUCCCUCAGUCCCUGUCGUCUCCACUCAGAUUUCACACCCAUGGAUUGGAGAUGGGGUGUCAGUGCUCCUGGGCCUCCGGGAUUGUUGAGGGGCCCCAUCCGGAUGCACUGUCUGCUCUCUGUCAACCAGGAUAAAGAAGCUGCACAUGCAAGUCAGGUAUUAAUAUGCACAAUACCUGGUAAAAUCUGGAAAACAGAACAAUA